rnacentral:tRNA from 1 species
GUUUUAAUAAUUUAAUAAAAAUAUAGGUCUUGUAAACCUAACUUAAGACUAAUCUUUUAAAACU